CUCCAAUCAGAUGAUGGAGAUAUAUAUCGUCAUCCUCCAAUCAGAUGAAGGAGAUAUAUAUGACGUCAUCCUCCAAUCAGAUGAUGGAGAUAUAUAUGAAGUCAUCCUCCAAUCAGAUGAUGGAGAUAUAUAUGACGUCAUCCUCCAAUCAGAUGAUGGAGAUAUAUAUGACGUCAUCCUCCAAUCAGAUGAUGGAGAUAUAUAUGACGUCAUCCUCCAAUCAGAUGAUGGAGAUAUAUAUGACGUCAUCCUCCAAUCAGAUGAUGGAGAUACGCGGAACUAUUCAACGCUGUCACGAAACACUUCGUCAAACAUUUGCCUUCGCUCUUAAAACCUGGUAUUUUUUUCUCCUUCCACUUUAUCUGUUCAGGUAUUUUUCCAUUUAGCUUUAGACAUUUUGUUCACAAGACUAACUACAGGCAGGAAAAAGGUUAGCGUGUUGGCUACAAAUCAUUCAUCUGGCAAGACAUUAGAAUAAUCAGAAGGCAUAGACAAAAGUACAUAACAAUCAUCGACCACAUUGUCCAUCUCUACAGAGCACAUUAUCCAUCUCUACAGAGCACAUUAUCCAUCUCUAUAGAACACAUUAUCCAUCUCUACAGAGCACAUUAUCCAUCUCUAUAGAACACAUUAUCCAUCUCUACAGAGCACAUUAUCCAUCUCUACAGAGCACAUUAUCCAUCUCUACAGAGCACAUUAUCCAUCUCUAUAGAACACAUUAUCCAUCUCUACAGAGCACAUUAUCCAUCUCUACAGAGCACAUUAUCCAUCUCUACAGAGCACAUUAUCCAUCUCUAUAGAGCACAUUAUCCAUCUCUACAGAGCACAUUAUCCAUCUCUAUAGAGCACAUUAUCCAUCUCUAUAGAGCACAUUAUCCAUCUCUACAGAGCACAUUAUCCAUCUCUAUAGAACACAUUAUCCAUCUCUACAGAGCACAUUAUCCAUCUCUAUAGAACACAUUAUCCAUCUCUACAGAACACAUUAUCCAGCUCUAUAGUAGCUGUGUCCAGCUGUCAUCUGUACAGCCGUUUCCAACACACCUAGUCUGUGUCCAAAUGGCACCCUAUUCUCUACGUAGUGCACUACUUUUGAAGAGGGCCAAUAGGGCUCUGGUCUAAAGUAGUGCACUAUGUAGGGAAUAUGGAGCCAUUUUGGAUGCUCCGCAACAACCCCAUGAUGGUAUUGAGGACAUUCACUACAGUAUCUAUUCUCUUCUGAUUCAAAACCAACCAACCAGCGUUCCAGUUUGCUUCAAACAAAGAAGAAGGGUGAACCACCCCACCCAACCCAGGCACAACCCAGGCUUAGGCACAACCCAGGCUCAGAUACAGCUGAUGUUCACAUACCCCAGCCAACCCAGGCUCAGGUACAACCCAGUCUCAGGUACAACCCAGUCUCAGGUACAACCCAGGCUCAGGUACAACCCGGUCUCAGGUACAACCCGGUCUCAGGUACAACCCAGUCUCAGGUACAACCCGGUCUCAGGUACAACCCAGUCUCAGGUACAACCCAGUCUCAGGUACAACCCAGUCUCAGGUACAACCCAGGCUCAGACACAGCUGAUGUUCACAUAUUACCUUGUUUUUAUUUCCCCUGUUGUCUGUCCUCCUCAGAAGGAGAGAUUGAGUUUCACAGACAAAGUACCCAACCUCUGGUUCUGGUAUGGAAUCAGCUUCAUCGUCACAGUAACUACAACUGUUAUUAUUAUUAUGAUUAUAUACCAGUUUCACUCUAUGUUGUUAUUGGCCUAUGGCAAAUAGGCUGUUUGGUGUUUAGCCUCGGACAUGCGUCCUAAAAGGCACCCUAUUCCCUAUAUACAGUGCACUACUUUUGACCCGGGCCUGUAUAUAGUGUACUAGUGUCUGGGCCCUUGUAGUGCACUACAUAGGGAAUAGGGUGCCAUUUGGGACAUACCUUGGUUAUUGUACUGGGCACAAGAUACAGAAAGACAACGGUAUCUGGUGUAGUAGUUGUUGUUAGUGAAGCUGGCUGCCGUGGCUGGACAGGAGCACCCGGUGGAACAACAGCUAGCCCACCGUUGCUGUUCUCCUCUUGUUACCCUUGAUGUGGGUCGUGGCUUUGGGGUGGACGUAUUGGGGAGUCUUAAAUGUUUCCUCAGCUAGUCUCUACCUGGG
ensembl:lncRNA